rnacentral:rRNA from 1 species
AUUGAACGCUGGCGGCAGGCUUAACACAUGCAAGUCGAGCGGGGUGAUGGUGCUUGCACUAUCACUUAGCGGCGGACGGGUGAGUAAUGCUUAGGAAUCUGCCUAUUAGUGGGGGACAACAUCUCGAAAGGGAUGCUAAUACCGCAUACGUCCUACGGGAGAAAGCAGGGGAUCACUUGUGACCUUGUGCUAAUAGAUGAGCCUAAGUCGGAUUAGCUAGUUGGUGGGGUAAAGGCCUACCAAGGCGACGAUCUGUAGCGGGUCUGAGAGGAUGGUCCGCCACACUGUGACUGAUACACGGCCCAGACUCCUACGGGAGGCAGCAGUGUGGAAUAUUGGACAAUGGGGGGAACCCUGAUCCAGCCAUGCCGCGUGUGUGAAGAAGGCCUUAUGGUUGUAAAGCACUUUAAGCGAGGAGGAGGCUUACCUAGUUAAUACCUGGGAUAAGUGGACGUUACUCGCAGAAUAAGCACCGGCUAACUCUGUGCCAGCCGCCGCCGUAA